rnacentral:rRNA from 1 species
UACGAAGGGGGCUAGCGUUGUUCGGAAUCACUGGGCGUAAAGGGUGCGCAGGCGGGUUCAUAAGUCAGGGGUGAAAUCCCGAGGCUCAACCUCGGAACUGCCUUUGAUACUGUGGAUCUUGAGUCCGGAAGAGGUGAGUGGAACUGCGAGUGUAGAGGUGAAAUUCGUAGAUAUUCGCAAGAACACCAGUGGCGAAGGCGGCUCACUGGCCCGGUACUGACGCUGAGGUGCGAAAGCGUGGGGAGCGAACCGG